rnacentral:rRNA from 1 species
GUGGGGAAUAUUGGACAAUGGGGGGAACCCUGAUCCAGCCAUGCCGCGUGUGUGAAGAAGGCCUUUUGGUUGUAAAGCACUUUAAGCGAGGAGGAGGCUACCGAGAUUAAUACUCUUGGAUAGUGGACGUUACUCGCAGAAUAAGCACCGGCUAACUCUGUGUCAGCAGCCGCGGUAAUACAGAGGGUGCAAGCGUUAAUCGGAUUUACUGGGCGUAAAGCGCGCGUAGGUGGCCAAUUAAGUCAAAUGUGAAAUCCCCGAGCUUAACUUGGGAAUUGCAGUCGAUACUGGUUGGCUAGAGUAUGGGAGAGGAUGGUAGAAUUCCAGGUGUAGCGGUGAAAUGCGUAGAGAUCUGGAGGAAUACCGAUGGCGAAGGCAGCCAUCUGGCCUAAUACUGACACUGAGGUGCGAAAGCAUGGGGAGCAAACAGGAUUAGAUACCCCUGUAGUCC